GUUACAAGGUCUCCGUUGGUGAACCAGCGGAGGGAUCAUUA
rnacentral:rRNA from 1 species